rnacentral:rRNA from 1 species
AACGAACGCUGGCGGCAGGCCUAACACAUGCAAGUCGAACGCACCGCAAGGUGAGUGGCGCACGGGUGAGUAACACGUGGGAAUGUACCCUUUGGUUCGGAAUAACGUUUGGAAACGAACGCUAAUACCGGAAGAGCCCUACGGGGGGAAGAUUUAUCGCGAAAGGAGGAGCCCGCGUCGGAUUAGCUAGUUGGUGUGGAAAGGGCCUACCAAGGCGACGAUAAGUAGCUGGUCUGAGAGGAUGAUCAGCCACACUGGGACUGAGACACGGGCCAGACUCCUACGGGAGGCAGCAGUGGGGAAUAUUGGACAAUGGGCGGAAGCCUGAUCCAGCCAUGCCGCGUGAGUGAUGAAGUCCUUCGGGUUGUAAAGCUCUUUCGCACACGACGGUGAUGACGGUAAUGUGAGAAGAAGCCCCGGCUAACUUCGUGCCAGCAGCCGCGGUAAUAC